GAAGAGUUUGAUCAUGGCUCAGAUUGAACGCUGGCGGCAGGCCUAACACAUGCAAGUCGAACGGUAACAGGAAGCAGCUUGCUGCUUUGCUGACGAGUGGCGGACGGGUGAGUAAUGUCUGGGAAACUGCCUGAUGGAGGGGGAUAACUACUGGAAACGGUGGCUAAUACCGCAUAACGUCGCAAGACCAAAGAGGGGGACCUUCGGGCCUCUUGCCAUCAGAUGUGCCCAGAUGGGAUUAGCUUGUUGGUGAGGUAACGGCUCACCAAGGCGACGAUCCCUAGCUGGUCUGAGAGGAUGACCAGCCACACUGGAACUGAGACACGGUCCAGACUCCUACGGGAGGCAGCAGUGGGGAAUAUUGCACAAUGGGCGCAAGCCUGAUGCAGCCAUGCCGCGUGUAUGAAGAAGGCCUUCGGGUUGUAAAGUACUUUCAGCGGGGAGGAAGGUGUUGUGGUUAAUAACCGCAGCAAUUGACGUUACCCGCAGAAGAAGCACCGGCUAACUCCGUGCCAGCAGCCGCGGUAAUACGGAGGGUGCAAGCGUUAAUCGGAAUUACUGGGCGUAAAGCGCACGCAGGCGGUCUGUCAAGUCGGAUGUGAAAUCCCCGGGCUCAACCUGGGAACUGCAUUCGAAACUGGCAGGCUUGAGUCUUGUAGAGGGGGGUAGAAUUCCAGGUGUAGCGGUGAAAUGCG
rnacentral:rRNA from 1 species